AGAUCUCACCCUCACUGGUUGUUGUUUCACAGGGAGGACGAUUGCACCAAAGAAGGUGAAAGUGGUACAGCAACAGCAGUUGAAGAAGGGCCUGGAGGUGGCGAUCAGGAACAAGAUAGAGGAAGAGGUGACUCACAGAGCCAUACUAAACUCCACAAGAGGCUGAGUGUUGUGAAGGGAGCGGAGGUGAAACAACCCCCUCUAAAGGAAACAAUCAUCCCAACCACCCUGCCACCAGCACCUCCAAAUAAACACCCUCUGUUAGUCUGUCUGUCUGCUCUGACUGCUUUCGCUGUGCUAGAUAGAAGUUCAUUAUGGCUCCCAAAUGGCACCC